GACGAACGCUGGCGGCGUGCUUAACACAUGCAAGUCGAACGGAAAGGCCCUGCUUUUGUGGGGUGCUCGAGUGGCGAACGGGUGAGUAACACGUGAGUAACCUGCCCUUGACUUUGGGAUAACUUCAGGAAACUGGGGCUAAUACCGGAUAGGAGCUCCUGCUGCAUGGUGGGGGUUGGAAAGUUUCGGCGGUUGGGGAUGGACUCGCGGCUUAUCAGCUUGUUGGUGGGGUAGUGGCUUACCAAGGCUUUGACGGGUAGCCGGCCUGAGAGGGUGACCGGCCAAAUGGGAACUGAGAUACGGCCCAGAUUCCACGGGAGGCAGCAGUGGGGAAUAUUGCACAAUGGGCGGAAGCCUGAUGCAGCAACGCCGCGUGCGGGAUGACGGCCUUCGGGUUGUAAACCGCUUUCGCCUGUGACGAAGCGUGAGUGACGGUAAUGGGUAAAGAAGCACCGGCUAACUACGUG
rnacentral:rRNA from 1 species